GCCAACCCCAUGUAAAUUGUCUCCUUUUUCUGCUGUUGGUAUCUCUUUUUUUAUGGGUAUAAGUCGCUAUAAUAGAUUUCGGUGUGUUGCUUUAAUUAAAUAUAUUACAAGUUAUGUGUUACAAGUUAAGAAGGAUAGAAGUUUGUGAAGAUAUGUGUUACAAGUUAUAAAAGGGAACAAAAUCCCCAAAUGGGUCAACCAGGUAGCCAGAAUAGGUACUAUAUCAUCCCCUUUUUAAAUUUCUUUGGUUAUGGAUGUCCAUAUUGACCCAUUUACACAUGAAUCAGUUAGUUUAGAAUGUGUUUUAUUCUGAACACAUACAAAAUGUCACACUAAUCCUUUCAUUUAAUGAUUUAAAUUAAUCAUGUUCUAAUUCAAUAACUAUUUAUUAUUGUUGUUGUAAAUGGAUAAAAAAAGUGGGUGGGUUAUUCAUGACUCAAGCCCUGCUGGCCUAUAUUGCCUGGUACCAAAAAAUAACCAUUUCAAUUUAAACGAUUUUAGCGAGUUACCCAACCUACCUGACCCACUUUACAUUGUACCUUGACUUUUAGUUAUGCUGGCAUUGUGAGCUCAUCUUCUCAUGUUUUUUUUUAGAUUCAUAUUGUCACUACAUACUUCCAAAGGCUAUCAAGGGUAGUUCUGCUGUUAGAAAUGAAUCAAACUCUCAAGAAAAUGAAAAGAGGAGUUUAACGAGUAGGUGCACAUAAAUUAUCUCCCAUUUAAAGGAUGCAGAGGGUAUAGUUAAGCCAUAUUUGUGGGGCUUGGACGCCGGUUGAAAAGAACAAAGCCAAACAUUCACGCUUGCCUGAAAAUGAUGAGGUAAUUUGGGAAAAUGAGAAUCUGAAUUUUAUAAUAUGGUUAAAGCCUACGAAUAUGGCAGUUUGAUUUGGACCAGAGACGAGUGGGGAAUACUAUGGGCCAGUUAAAUAGGUAACCUAAUGCUUUUCUCAACUUUUUUAUUGAGUGUACUUCUUAAGAAUUACAUUUGGUUGCUAUGUCAUCCAAAUUUUAAUAAAGAUUAGAGGUGGCAAGAUGGGCAUUCUAGGCCAAUUUUGUAGUACGGGUCAGGUUAUGUUGAAUCAACCCGAAAACACCUUUUAGUCUAUGGUUUACAAUAAUUACUUUGUUUAUCAUUACAAUAAUAAUCUAAACUUUUUACACAGUUCAUCUAGGAGGUUCUAUGCUUAAGAAUGUAGCCUUUGGUAUACUUUCAAGUUUCAAUCCAUUUGUUCCAUUUUUACUUUUUAGCCAUUUUUUUAAUUUGACCCGUUUGAUAUAAAAUAAAACCCAAAUCGAUCCAUUUAUAAGUAAAAGGGUAGUAGUUGCCGCUUUUUAUUACUAGAGAUUAAACUUACAGCUUCGAUGUCUGUGGGCACGCAUAUAAGGAAGUGGCUGAAAUCAAAGGACAAUGUAGUUGUGGUGGAUGGAUCUCGGUUCGAAAAUAGAUCGAGCCGUCUGAUGUUCAAAUCGAAGCAACCUAGCAGAUUCUGUAGUUUACGAUUGUUACAAUACAGUUCAAACGUCAUUUGAUCAACAAUUGUUUUAACACCGUCAACGUAUCUACGUUUUGCACGCAUAAUGGAGUUUGGUGCUAAUCGGAUCCCCACCGGAUCUCCACGGCAACGUGUGAGUUUCGGAGUUUGCAAUGUUAUCAUACCAAGAAUGAUUCGGUUAAGCGCAACAUGGCGCUGUGUAUAAAGGUGGUAUUUGGUUUUGAAUAGACAAAUAAAAAUAAAUUACAAUUGUGCUAAUCUUUAGAAAAAGAAACUUAUGGUUACAUGUUCAAUGAACAAUUACUAUUUGAUGUUUAA